AGCCCUGGGUGUGGCCCUAAAGAGUAAAAUAAAAUAAAAAAUAAAAUGUAGGGAGUUCUCUGAUGGCCUAGCAGGUUGAGGCGCCUGCGUUCUCACCACUGUGGCUCUGGUUGCUGCUAUGUGGCGUAGAUUCAAUCCCUGGCCCAGGAAUUCCCACAUACUGCCUGUGUGGCAAAAAAGAAAAAAGAAUACAAAAAAAAAAAAAAAAAGAGAGAGAGAGAAAACCUGAAAAAAACAUUGCACCUCUCAUUAAAAAAAUUAAAAAAUAAAUAAAUAAAUAAAAAUAAAAUGUAUCAGUUUAGUAGGUAUUUGUAAAGCAUCAUAUAGUGUGAGAACUGUGCUUGGCACUAGGUAUACAGUGUUAAAUAGUGCUCCUUUAUGAAUGCUUUAUUUGCAUCGUCGUUGUUUGAUUUUAACCAUAGAAAAUGUGAGGUAGGUAAAAACAGAAGAGGAAGACAUCAUUGCCCAGAGAGGUUAAUUGACUGGCUGAGGUCACGCAGCUUGUACAUGGUGGUAGGAUUGGAACCCAACAGUCCACAACGAAAACCUGAAUUUUAACCAUGACAUCAUAGUGUCUGUGCUUUACUGGCGUAGAGGAGCUCUACCCUCAGAAAGCUCAGAGUCCAGUAGAGAAAGGAUGAAAUUAAGCAAACAUAAAGACAACACACUGUGCUAAGGGCUAAGAAGGAAAUAAACAGGAUGAACUGAAAGAGAUAGUCUGGAGGAGCUAGUAAGUGACAGGGGUAAAUCUGGGAGGGCCUCUCUGAGGGGGUGUCAUUUAAGCUAAGGUCUAGACAUGCAUUGCUCUUGGGCAAGUGACAGGUGGGGAGCAGAGGGCUUCAGCAGAGGGGACGUCAUGGUGGGAAAAAUUGAUAACCGGGGGCUCAUAGAGAAGAGCUGAUCAAAACAAGCAACCCAGUUUAUUGGUGAAGAAUACUUGGAGCUUCACAUCCAUCCACAAUCAGUUAGGAUCAGAAAAAAGAUUCUGCAGCUGCCUCUGUGCCUUUAGUGUUUUCUCUAUUUUAUUACAUACAUUCAGUUUUAUAAACAUGAAAGAGAUCCAGCCUUUUCAUGAAUGCCUAUAACUGACCACAUUUCACCAUCCCCUUCCCGCUCUCUCAUGUGGGAAAACAGAAGGAAGGAGAAGGUUUGAAGUUCUGCCUCCAAAUAUUUCCUUAGUGGGCUUUUAUGGGGCUUGGCUCCUUAGAACCUGACAUGUGUUCAUAAAACAUGAUGUUCCUCUGCCUUUAUAUACAUUCUUUUUCUUUAAAAAAAAAAAAAAAAA
rnacentral:lncRNA from 1 species